rnacentral:rRNA from 1 species
AGCAGCCGCGGUAAUUCCAGCUCCAAUAGCGUAUAUUAAAGUUGUUGCAGUUAAAAAGCUCGUAGUUGAAUUUCGGGGUCAGUAGGUCGGUCGUGCCACUGGUAUGAACUGGUUUCACUGAUUCCUCCCUCUUGUAGAACCGUGAUGCCAUUAAUUUGGUGUUGCGGGGAAACAGGACUGUUACUUUGAAAAAAUUAGAGUGUUUAAAGCAAGCUAACGCUUGAAUACAUUAGCAUGGAAUAAUGAAAUAGGACGUCGAUCUUAUUUUGUUGGUUUCUAGGGUUGACGUAAUGAUUAAUAGGGAUAGUUGGGGGCAGUUAGUAUUCAAUUGUCAGAGGUGAAAUUCUUGGAUUUAUUGAAGACUAACUACUGCGAAAGCAUUUGCCAAGGAUGUUUUCAUUAAUCAAGAACGAAGUUAGGGAUCGAAGACGAUCAGAUACCGUCGUAGU